rnacentral:lncRNA from 1 species
AUUUACAUGAAACCUGCAAGGGCUAACGUCAAAGUAAUGGAUCAACGUAUGGAACUUCUAAAGUGAGCUACAAGGUCAGAUGAUUUCUGGUUGGCAAGCUUUUUCUGUGGACUUGGCUUUGACAGUCCUUCGAAGCUCUUAAGAGGCCAAGAAUUUGAGAAACUAAUGGAAUUAUCUUGCGACUUCUUUGGUGCUACAGAAAGAGGAGAUGUGUGCUUUGGACUAGUUCGAGGUGAUGCGAGAGGAUAGGAUGGAAGGAUGAAGGAUCCUGGACUUGCAUUUGAACCAGAGUAUGAAGAAGUUCGUUCUGAUUGACU